rnacentral:rRNA from 1 species
CAGGCCUAACACAUGCAAGCCGAACGAAGGCUUCGGCCUUAGUGGCGCACGGGUGAGUAACGCGUGGGAAUCUGCCCUUGGGUUCGGAAUAACAGUGGGAAACUACUGCUAAUACCGGAUGACGACGUAAGUCCAAAGAUUUAUCGCCCAGGGAUGAGCCCGCGUAGGAUUAGCUAGUUGGUGGGGUAAAGGCCUACCAAGGCGACGAUCCUUAGCUGGUCUGAGAGGAUGAUCAGCCACACUGGGACUGAGACACGGCCCAGACUCCUACGGGAGGCAGCAGUGGGGAAUAUUGGACAAUGGGCGAAAGCCUGAUCCAGCAAUGCCGCGUGAGUGAUGAAGGCCCUAGGGUUGUAAAGCUCUUUUACCCGGGAAGAUAAUGACUGUACCGGGAGAAUAAGCCCCGGCUAACUCCGUGCCAGCAGCCGCGGUAAU